GAGACGUUAGUAAACCAAUUACAUGGCCCUGUCAGAGCCAAAUCACAGGUAAAACCCUGUACAUCUCC
rnacentral:tRNA from 1 species